CAGAAACUUCGGUGAAAUCAAGUAAUACCCUGUAAGAUCAAGAUGACAAACAUGUGGAUUAGGGAGAUCAAAUGAUUUGUCCAGUUCAUAGCUAAAGAGCAACAGACUGGAGUCAAAGCCAGAUGCAACAAUUCUCGACUGUUUGGAGUUCCUCCGUCCAGUGCUCUGUGUUGGACCCUAAGUGCACACCACUGAAUGUGAAACAUUGUUCUGCAACUUGCUUUCUUCUCUUUCCAUAUCUUGGAGGUAUGAAAGAAACCUUAACACCACAUAAAUAGAAAGGUUUUUUUCUUUCAGUAAGGAAAGUGAGAGUGAGGGAAUGUAAUCGAAUGAACCCAACAUUUAUCACAGAGAAUGACAAUGACAAGACCACAGUUCAACUAGCUGAUACAAUGCCUUUGGAACCCAUCCUCAGGAUAAAUUCAGUGAAAAGCACGCUGACUUUCAAAGACUCAAUAUUUUUACUUGAUGACUAUGGAGGCAAAAUACUUUCCUUCAUCUUGUGGCAACAGAAGACAAUAAAAGUGACAAUAUUCUGUUUUUCUUCAAUUCUCUCUUCAUUUUAUAUUAGCUAUGGUUAGAGGUAACAUCGGAGAAGGCAAUGGCACCCCACUCCAGUACUCUUGCCUGGAAAACUCCAUGGACAGAGGAGCCUGGUGGGCUGCAGUCCAUGGGGUUGCUGAGAGUCGGGCAUGACUUCACUUUCACUUUCACUUUUCACUUUGUGCAUUGGAGAAGGAAAUGACAACCCACUCCAGUGUUCUUGCCUGGAGAAUCCCAGGGAUGGGGGAGCCUGGUGGGCUGCUGUCUAUGGGGUCACACAGAGUCGGACAUGACUGAAAUGACUUAGCAGCAGAGGUAACAUAAUGAAAUUGCCUAAAAAACUCUAGAAAGCAAGGUGAAACAAUCAUUUUCUUUGUAUCGAAAGAUACUUAGCCAAUGUCUUUCUUUCUCUCUUUUCAUUUUCAGCUGCAUUUGGUCUUUGUUGCUGCACGAGGGCUUUCUCUAGUUACGGUGAGCGGGGCUUGUGUUGCACAGGCUUCUCAUUGUGGUGGCUUCUCUUGUUACAGAGCCUGCAGUCUAGGGUUAUCAGGCUUCAGUAGUUUCAGCAUGUGGGCUCAGUAGUUGUGGUACACAGGCUUAGUUACCUUGCAGCAUGUGGGAUCUUUCCAGACCAGGGAUUGAACCUGUGUCCCCUGCAUUGGCAGCUGGAUUCUUAGUCACUGGACCGCCAGAGAAGCCCCAUAGCCCAUUUCUUAUUCUUGUUAUAUCUGUGCCCUGUCCUCAUGGGGCUAUUUCCUAAUAAGGAAUUAACUUGGCUGAGGAGGAGCCUGGGACAUUGACCUGACAAUUUCAUUUGCUUCCCUGGUGGCUCAGAUGGUAAAGAAUCUGCCUACAAUGCUCGGGACACGGGUUUGAUCCCUGGAUCAGGAAGAUCCUCUGGAGAAGGAAAUGGCAACCCACUCCAGUAUUCUUGCCUGGAAAAUUCUAUGGAAUUGUCCAUAGUAGCCUAGUGGGCUAUAGUCCAAGGGGUCACAAAGAGUCAGACAUGACUGAGCGACUAAUACUUUGUAACUCCAAUUCAACCCUAACCUGACAGAGAUGAUGCAAGGAAGAGUGUGUGCAGUGAAGCAAUUCUUUAGUCAUCCUAUAGGGGUAUCUUCUCCAAGAAUGUUAAAAUUAAGCCUGAUAUUUUUCACCACUGAUUUUCUUCCCUAAGCUAAUGCUGGCCUGACAACAUUGCUCAUCAUCUUGACAUAAGUGUGGAGUAUUUCUGUAUCAUCAGAGAAAAUUGCUCUAUUUAUUCUGCAUAGAGUGAUUUUCUCCUAAAUCAGAAUAGCAGUCUAUUUUAUUCCUCACUGUCACUUACUAGAUAAAUCCCAUCAAUAAAUUUGCUGUUCCUUUGUGAAUAAAUUGUCUCUGCUAUCAUUUUCAUUUUAUAGCUAGUCACAUCUUUCAUCUGGAUGCUAUUACUCACCUCCUUGAACAUUAAGUUCCUCCUUCUCAAUGAAAUAAGCUGUUCUUAGUACUUUUUCCUCCAAGUCAGUACUAAAUGCUCACAUCAAGUAAGCAUUAACGGGAAGAGUACUGGCUGGGGAUUAAGAAGUCAUGGGUCAGAUCCCAUUUCCAGUCCCCUCCGUCCAGACAUGUGACUUUGGGGCAAGCUACUUGUCAGCUUGAGUUUCUUCAUCUCUAAAAAUAGGGGAGUGUGCUCUUUCACUACUUGUAUUCCCAUCGUGGUUUGGGGAAUAAAACAAGACAGGUCUAUGUAAAAGAUCUCUGUAAGGUGUGGCACUCAAAGGCAAAUUGUUAAAGUACCAGGCACAGCUGAGGUACUCAUAAAAACCUUUUGUAUUAGUCGAAUCAAUUUCUCCCACUUACUGCUUGCCAAUACCAGAAGAUUCACAGAAUAAGGGGGACAAGAGCUGGAGUGAACACCCUGGCUUUUAACUCUGUUCCUGCCCAGUUCCUCCAACUUCACUCAUCUCAGAGAUCAGUCAAAAUAUGUAGAUACUGACUAUACAAAACGUACAGAUGUCUGAUCUGGUGAUCUGGGCAAAGCUCGUUAACCCAUAGAGUAGGUAUUAUCCCCAAGUUGAGAUAACCCAGCCUGUCUUCUGGGAAUUUGUUCUUUGAUAGGGGAGACAAACUUUCACUGUUACUAGAGUGGAGUCAAUUAAUGACUGGCCCCUAGGAGAAGCUUUUUGAAUCGCUG
ensembl:lncRNA